rnacentral:rRNA from 1 species
CCUACGGGAGGCAGCAGUGAGGAAUAUUGGUCAAUGGACGAGAGUCUGAACCAGCCAAGUAGCGUGAAGGAUGACUGCCCUAUGGGUUGUAAACUUCUUUUAUAUGGGAAUAAAAUGUUCCACGUGUGGGAUUUUGUAUGUACCAUAUGAAUAAGGAUCGGCUAACUCCGUGCCAGCAGCCGCGGUAGUACGGAGGAUCCGAGCGUUAUCCGGAUUUAUUGGGUUUAAAGGGAGCGUAGGUGGAUUGUUAAGUCAGUUGUGAAAGUUUGCGGCUCAACCGUAAAAUUGCAGUUGAAACUGGCAGUCUUGAGUACAGUAGAGGUGGGCGGAAUUCGUGGUGUAGCGGUGAAAUGCUUAGAUAUCACGAAGAACUCCGAUUGCGAAGGCAGUUCACUGGACUGCAACUGACACUGAGGCUCGAAAGUGUGGGUAUCAAACAGGAUUAGAUACCCGAGUAGUC